GAAAAUUUAGUUAAAAGAUAACAUUAUCUUGUCAAGAUAAAAUUGUUCUAAAGACAAUUUUCU
rnacentral:tRNA from 1 species